CCUACGGGUGGCAGCAGUGAGGAAUAUUGGUCAAUGGACGGAAGUCUGAACCAGCCAUGCCGCGUGCAGGAAGACGGCUCUAUGAGUUGUAAACUGCUUUUGUACAAGGGUAAACCUGAAUACGUGUAUUCAGCUGACAGUACUGCACGAAUAAGGAUCGGCGAACUCCGUGCCAGCAGCCGCGGUAAUACGGAGGAUCCAAGCGUUAUCCGGAUUUAUUGGGUUUAAAGGGUGCGUAGUCGGAUUGGUAAGUUAGAGGUGAAAUGUCCGAGCUUAACUCGGGAACUGCCUCUAAUACUGUUGAUCUAGAGAAUAGGUGCGGUAGGCGGAAUGUAUGGUGUAGCGGUGAAAUGCUUAGAGAUCA
rnacentral:rRNA from 1 species